CAGCUCUUGACAUGUCAGGACGGUACUCAGAGAUGGGUGCUUUCCCGCAAGGGACCUGAACACAGGUGCUGCAUGGCUGUCGUCAGCUCGUGUCGUGAGAUGUUGGGUUAAGUCCCGCAACGAGCGCAACCCUCACCUUCAGUUGCCAUCGGGUCAAGCCGGGCACUCUGAAGGAACUGCCGGUGACAAGCCGGAGGAAGGCGGGGAUGACGUCAAGUCCUCAUGGCCUUUAUGGGCUGGGCUACACACGUGCUACAAUGGCGGUGACAGAGGGAGGCGACGGUGCGAGCCCGAGCCAAUCUCGAAAAGCCGUCUCAGUUCGGAUUGUUCUCUGCAACUCGAGAGCAUGAAGCUGGAAUCGCUAGUAAUCGCGGAUCAGCAUGCCGCGGUGAAUACGUUCCC
rnacentral:rRNA from 1 species